GGGCUCUUAGCUCAGUUGGAAGAGCGCCUCAAUGGCAUUGAGGAGGUCAGCGGUUCGAUCCCGCUAGGGUCCACCA
rnacentral:tRNA from 1 species